UACAGAGGUGGCAAGCGUUGUUCGGAAUUACUGGGCGUAAAGCGUGCGCAGGCGGUUAUGUAAGACAGGUGUGAAAUCCCAGGGCUUAACCUUGGAACUGCAUUUGUGACUGCAUAGCUAGAGUACGGUAGAGGGGGAUGGAAUUCCGCGUGUAGCAGUGAAAUGCGUAGAUAUGCGGAGGAACACCGAUGGCGAAGGCAAUCCCCUGGACCUGUACUGACGCUCAUGCACGAAAGCGUGGGGAGCAAACGGGG
rnacentral:rRNA from 1 species